AACGAACGCUAGCGGCGUGCCUAACACAUGCAAGUCGGACGAGAAAUCCUGAGCAAUCGGGAGAGUAAAGUGGCGCACGGGUGAGUAACGCGUGGGUAAUCUGCCCUGGAGUUGGGAAUAACACUUCGAAAGGGGUGCCAAUACCCGAUAAGAUUCUGUGGACUUCGGUCCGUGAAAUAAAAGAUAGCCUCUGCUUGCAAGCUAUUGCUCCAGGAUGAGCACGCGUACCAUUAGCUAGUUGGCGGGGUAAUGGCCCACCAAGGCAAUGAUGGUUAGCUGGUCUGAAGGGAUGGCCAGCAGCACUGGAACUGAGAUACGGUCCAGACUCCUACAGGAGGCAGCAGUGAGGAAUCUUGCGCAAUGGGGGCAACCCUGACGCAGCAACGCCGCGUGAGUGAUGAAGGCCUUCGGGUCGUAAAGCUCUGUCAGAUGGGAAGAACGUUUCAGUGGUGAAUAGCCACUGGGAUUGACGGUACCGUCAAAGGAAGCACCGGCUAACUCCGUGCCAGCAGCCGCAGUAA
rnacentral:rRNA from 1 species